AUACUCCAAUGCCGCCUGUUUAUCAAAACAUCGCCUCUUGAACACAUAUAAGAGGUCCAGCCUGCCCAGUGACUAAAUUCAACGGCCGCGGUAUCCUAACCGUGCGAAGGUAGCGUAAUCACUUGUUCUUUAAAUGAGGACUAGUAUGAAUGGCACCACGAGGGUUAUACUGUCUCCUUUUUCUAAUCAAUGAAACUGAUCUCCCGUGAAGAAGCGGGGAUAAGACUAUCAGACGAGAAGACCCUAUGGAGCUUCAAACAACAUAGCAAUGGCUUAUUUACCUAUAUAAUUUCAGAAUACCUAUACUUAUCUUAGCCUUCUGACUAUUAGUUUUGGGUUGGGAUGACCACGGAGCAAAACCUAACCUCCAUGUUGGAUAGAUCUCCUCUUGAGCCAAAAGCCACAACUUUAAGCACCAAUAAACUGACAUAACUUGACCCAAUAUUUUGAGCAACGAACCAAGUUACCCUAGGGAUAACAGCGCAAUCCACUUCAAGAGCCCCUAUCGACAAGUGGGUUUACGACCUCGAUGUUGGAUCAGGGUAUCCCAGUGGUGCAGCCGCUACUAAAGGUUCGUUUGUUCAACGAUUAAAACCCUACGUGAUCUGAGUUCAGACCGGGCAUUGGAGUA
rnacentral:rRNA from 1 species